rnacentral:rRNA from 1 species
UACGUAGGCAGCAAGCGUUGUUCGGAGUUACUGGGCGUAAAGGGUGUGUAGGCGGUUCUUUAAGUUUGGUGUGAAAUCUCCCGCUCAACUGGGAGGGUGCGCCGAAUACUGAGGGACUUCGAGUGCGGGAGAGGAAAGUGGAAUUCCUGGUGUAGCGGUGAAAUGCGUAGAUAUCAGGAGGAACACCGGUGGUGUAGACGGCUUUCUGGACCGUAACUGACGCUGAGACACGAAAGCGUGGGUAGCAAACAGG